rnacentral:rRNA from 1 species
GACGAACGCUGGCGGCGUGCUUAACACAUGCAAGUCGAACGAAGUGGCGAACGGGUGAGUAACGCGUGAUAAACCUGCCCUUCAGAGGGGGACAACAGUUGGAAACGACUGCUAAUACCGCAUACUGAAUGAGGGGUUUGCGUCUGAUUAGCUAGUUGGAGGGGUAACGGCCCACCAAGGUGAUGAUCAGUAGCCGGUCUGAGAGGAUGAACGGCCACAUUGGGACUGAGAAAAGGCCCAGACUCCUACGGGAGGCAGCAGGGGGGAAUCUUGCGAAAUGGACGAAAGUCUGAAGGAGCAAAGCCGCGGGAGUGAUGACGGCCUUCGGGGUGUAAAGCUAUGUUAAUCGGGACGCGGUACCGGAAGAGAAAGCCACGGCUAACUACGUGCCAGCAGCCGCGGUAAUAC